AACAUAGCCUUUAGCUUAACAAGUAUUAAAGGUCUCGCCUGCCCAGUGACCCCUUAAACGGCCGCGGUAUCCUAACCGUGCAAAGGUAGCAUAAUCACUUGUCCCCUAAAUAGGGACUAGAAUGAACGGCUACAUGAGGACUAACCUGUCUCUUGCAUUCAAUCAAUGAAAUUGAUCUCUCAGUCCAAAAGCUGAAAUAACCCCAUAAGACGAGAAGACCCUGUGGAGCUUAUUAAACUAAGCUCACCGACAUGAACGCCUAGUUUUCAGUUGGGGCGACUUCGGAGCACAAAAAACCCUCCAAAUUAAUCCAACCAGAUUAACACAUCGACACCUCCUUGACCCAGUAGUUUUAACCCUCCUACCUGAUCAAUGAAACAAGUUACCCCAGGGAUAACAGCGCCAUCCCCUUCAAGAGUCCCCAUCGACAAGGGGGUUUACGACCUCGAUGUUGGAUCAGGACACCCAAAUAGUGCAUCCGCUAUUAACGGUUCGUUUGUUCAACGAUUAAAGUCCUACGUGAU
rnacentral:rRNA from 1 species